rfam:Sorghum bicolor cultivar BTx623 chromosome 1, whole genome shotgun sequence.
GUUAUAUGAUUUAUCUCAAUCUAUAUGUGUUGGAGUGGAUUGAGGUGGAAUUUAGUUCAAGUUCCACUCUAAUCUACAUCAACACAUGUGGAUUGAUGCGAAUCCGAUA